rnacentral:rRNA from 1 species
UGAGGAAUAUUGGGCAAUGCCCGCAAGGGUGACCCAGCAACGCCGCGUGGAGGAUGAAUGUCGUAAGAUUGUAAACUCCUGUUAGAGGGGAAGAAUAGUACCGGUUGGACCGGUAUAUGACUGUACCCUCAGAGAAAGCCCCGGCUAACUACGUGCCAGCAGCCGCGGUAAUACGUAGGGGGCAAGCGUUGUCCGGAUUUACUGGGUGUAAAGGGCGCGCAGGCGGGAUAAAAAGUCAGUGGUGAAAUCCUACAGCUUAACUGUAGAACUGCCUUUGAUACUUUUAUUCUUGAGUUCGGGAGAGAGAGACGGAAUUCCAGGUGUAGUGGUGAAAUACGUAGAUAUCUGGAAGAACACCAGUUGCGAAGGCGGUCUCUUGGUCCGACACUGACGCUGAGGCGCGAAGGCGUGGGCAGCAAACA